UUGUGACCAUAUCACACUGAAACACCUGUUCCCGUACGAUCACCGAUAUUAAGCAACAUCGAGCCUGGUCAGUACCAAGAUGGGUGACCGCUUGUUAA